CCCGCUGAACUUAAGCAUAUCAAUAAGCGGAGGAAAAGAAACUAACAAGGAUUCCCCUAGUAACUGCGAGUGAAGCGGGAAAAGCUCAAAUUUAAAAUCUGGUGUUCUUUGGCCAUGUGAGAGGUGAUUUAGAGAAACGGCUUCCGGUGUGGAACCUGCACAAGUCUCCUGGAAAGGGGCGUCUUAGAGAGUGAGAGUCCCGUGUCUGGCACGCACACUCCAGGGAUUGUGUGAUGCGCUCUCGAAGAGUCGAGUUGUUUGGGAAUGCAGCUCAAAAUGGGUGGUGAACUCCAUCUAAAGCUAAAUAUUGGCGAGAGACCGAUAGCGAACAAGUACCGUGAGGGAAAGAUGAAAAGCACUUUGGAAAGAGAGUGAAACAGUACGUGAAAUUGUUGAAAGGGAAACGCUUGAAGUCAGUCGCGUCGGCCGAGACUCAGCCUUGCCUCGGCUUGGUGUAUUUCUUGGCCCGACGGGUCAGCAUCAAUUUUGCCCCUUGGAUAAUGGCUAGGGAAAUGUGACACCUUUAUAGGUGUGUUAUAGUCUCUCGUCGCAUGCAAGGGUCAGGAUUGAGGAACUCAGCAUGCACCUUCGGGUGUCGGGGCUUUUGUCCACGAUACAUGCUUAGGAUGUUGGCGUAAUGGCUUUAAACGACCCGUCUUGAAACACGG
rnacentral:rRNA from 1 species